UACGUAGGGAGCGAGCGUUAUCCGGAUUUAUUGGGUGUAAAGGGUGCGUAGGCGGCUUUAUAGGUCUGUGGUUUAAGUCCGAAGCUUAACUUCGGUUCGCCACAGAAACCGUUUAGCUUGAGUAUGGUAGAGGCAAGUGGAAUUUCUAGUGUAGCGGUUAAAUGCGUAGAUAUUAGAAGGAACACCAGUGGCGAAGGCGACUUGCUGGGCCAUCACUGACGCUGAGGCACGAAAGCGUGGGGAGCAAAUAGG
rnacentral:rRNA from 1 species